rnacentral:rRNA from 1 species
GACGAACGCUGGCGGUGUGCUUAACACAUGCAAGUCGAACGGUAAGGCCCUUUCGGGGGUACACGAGUGGCGAACGGGUGAGUAACACGUGAGUAACCUGCCCUCAUCUCUGGGAUAACAGUCGGAAACGGUUGCUAAUACUGGAUAUGAGCUUGCAAGGCAUCUUGUGGGUUGGAAAGAUUUUUUUGGUUGGGGAUGGACUCGCGGCCUAUCAGCUUGUUGGUGAGGUAGUGGCUCACCAAGGCUUCGACGGGUAGCCGGCCUGAGAGGGCGACCGGCCACAUUGGGACUGAGAUACGGCCCAAACUCCUACGGGAGGCAGCAGUGGGGAAUAUUGCACAAUGGACGGAAGUCUGAUGCAGCAACGCCGCGUGCGGGAUGACGGCCUUCGGGUUGUAAACCGCUUUCAAUUGUGACGAAGCUUUUUGUGACAGUAGCAGUAGAAGAAGCACCGGCUAACUACGUG